rnacentral:rRNA from 1 species
GAUGAACGCUGACAGAAUGCUUAACACAUGCCAGUCUUUGGCGAAGCUGUGCUUGCACAGCCUAGCCAAGGCGAACGGGUGAGUAACGCGUAAGGAACUUGCCCUGCAGUCAGGGAUAACAGACGGAAACGACUGAUAAGACCUGGUAAAGUCAGGCGGACUCAUGUCCAGCCUGAUGAAAAGAGAUGCUGCAGGAGAGCCUUGCGUCCUAUUAGCUUGUUGGUGGGGUAACGGCCCACCAAGGCGAUGAUAGGUAGCCGGCCUGAGAGGGUGGACGGCCACAAGGGGACUGAGAUACGGCCCUUACUCCUACGGGAGGCAGCAGUGGGGAAUAUUGGACAAUGGGGGCAACCCUGAUCCAGCAAUUCUGUGUGCACGAUGAAGGUUUUCGGAUUGUAAAGUGCUUUCAGCAGGGAAGAAAAAAAUGACGGUACCUGCAGAAGAAGCGACGGCUAAAUACGU